GAUCAAGCGCAAUAAGGGCGUUUGGUGGAUGCCUAGGCAGUAAGAGGCGAUGAAGGACGUGAUACUCUGCGAUAAGCCAUGGGGAGCCGAGAAUAGGCUUUGAUCCAUGGAUCUCCGAAUGGGGCAACCCACUUGAAUGUUUGUUAUGACCGCCCGCAAGGGCGGCUCAUAACGAGCAUAACAAGUACUUAUGACCUGAAUACAUAGGGUUUUAAGAGCGAACCCGGGGAACUGAAACAUCUAAGUACCCGGAGGAAAGGACAUCAACAGAGACUCCCCCAGUAGCGGCGAGCGAACGGGGACCAGCCGAGCCUUGAGAGUGAGAAGAACGCGUUGGAAAGCGCGGCCAUAGCGGGUGACAGCCCCGUAUUCGAAGCUCGAUGGGACGUAUCAAGUAGGGCGGGACACGUGAAAUCCUGUCCGAAGAUCGGGGGACCACCCUCGAAGGCUAAGUACUCCUUACUGACCGAUAGCGAACCAGUACCGUGAGGGAAAGGUGAAAAGCACCCCGACGAGGGGAGUGAAACAGUCCCUGAAACCGGACGCCUACAAGCAGUCGGAGCCUCCAUGAGAGGUGACGGCGUACCUUUUGUAUAAUGGGUCAUCGACUUGGUGUUACGAGCAAGCUUAAGCCGAUAGGUGUAGGCGCAGCGAAAGCGAGUCUUAAUAGGGCGAAUGAGUUCGUGGCAUCAGACCCGAAACCGAGUGAUCUAGGCAUGUCCAGGAUGAAGGUGAGGUAACACUCACUGGAGGUCCGAACCCACACCUGUUGAAAAAGGUCGGGAUGAGGUGUGCCUAGGGGUGAAAGGCCAAUCAAACUCGGAGAUAGCUGGUUCUCUGCGAAAUCUAUUUAGGUAGAGCGUCGCACGAAUACUCCCGGGGGUAGAGCACUGGAUGGGUAAUGGGGGCCCACAGCCUUACUGAUCCUAACCAAACUCCGAAUACCGGGAAGUACUAUGCGGCAGACACACGGCGGGUGCUAACGUCCGUCGUGGAGAGGGAAACAACCCUGACCUACAGCUAAGGCCCCCAAUUCAUGGCUAAGUGGGAAAGCAGGUGGGACGACCAAAACAACCAGGAGGUUGGCUUAGAAGCAGCCAUCCUUUAAAGAUAGCGUAACAGCUCACUGGUCUAGACAAGUUGUCCUGCGGCGAAGAUGUAACGGGGCUCAAGCCAUGAGCCGAAGCUUAGGGUGUGUAGCAAUACACGCGGUAGCAGAGCGUAGUGUGACAUAGAAGUCUUUACUGUGAAGCCGGCCUGUGAGGGAUCCGGUGGAGUGAUCACUAGCGAGAAUGAUGACAUGAGUAGCGACAAAGGGGGUGAGAGACCCCCUCGCCGAAAGUCCAAGGGUUCCUGCUUAAAGCUAAUCUGAGCAGGGUGAGCCGACCCCUAAGGCGAGGCCGAAAGGCGUAGUCGAUGGGAACCAGGUUAAUAUUCCUGGGCCAGGAGGAUGUGACGGAUCGCGGCUGUUGUUCGACCUUAUCGGAUUGGUCGGGCAGCGAAGCGGUCCCUGGAAAUAGCCCUCCAUGAGAUCGUACCCUAAACCGACACAGGUGGACUGGUAGAGAAUACCAAGGCGCUUGAGAGAACGACGUUGAAGGAACUCGGCAAAAUACCUCCGUAAGUUCGCGAGAAGGAGGCCCGGUUUUUGCGCAAGCAGAGGCCGGGGGCACAAACCAGGGGGUGGCGACUGUUUACUAAAAACACAGGGCUCUGCGAAGUCGCAAGACGACGUAUAGGGUCUGACGCCUGCCCGGUGCUGGAAGGUUAAAAGGAGGAGUGCAAGCUCCGAAUUGAAGCCCCAGUAAACGGCGGCCGUAACUAUAACGGUCCUAAGGUAGCGAAAUUCCUUGUCGGGUAAGUUCCGACCUGCACGAAUGGCGUAACGACUUCCCCGCUGUCUCCAACGUCGACUCAGCGAAAUUGAAUUGCCUGUCAAGAUGCAGGCUCCCCGCGGUUAGACGGAAAGACCCCGUGCACCUUUACUACAGCUUCAGACUGGCAUCAGGCUGGGCAUGUGCAGGAUAGGUGGUAGGCAUCGAAGCAGGGACGCCAGUCUCUGUGGAGCCAUCCUUGAGAUACCACCCUUGCGCUGCUUGAUGUCUAACCGCGGACCGUCAUCCGGUUCCGGGACCCUCUGUGGCGGGUAGUUUGACUGGGGCGGUCGCCUCCCAAACAGUAACGGAGGCGCGCGAAGGUUGGCUCAGAGCGGUCGGAAAUCGCUCGUCGAGUGCAAUGGCAUAAGCCAGCCUGACUGCAAGACAGACAAGUCGAGCAGAGACGAAAGUCGGCCAUAGUGAUCCGGUGGUCCCGAGUGGAAGGGCCAUCGCUCAACGGAUAAAAGGUACGCCGGGGAUAACAGGCUGAUACUGCCCAAGAGUCCAUAUCGACGGCAGUGUUUGGCACCUCGAUGUCGGCUCAUCUCAUCCUGGGGCUGGAGCAGGUCCCAAGGGUAUGGCUGUUCGCCAUUUAAAGAGGUACGUGAGCUGGGUUUAGAACGUCGUGAGACAGUUCGGUCCCUAUCUGCCGUGGGUGCAGGAUACUUGAGAGGAGUUGCCCCUAGUACGAGAGGACCGGGGUGAACGAUCCACUGGUGGACCAGUUGUCGUGCCAACGGCAGUGCUGGGUAGCUAUGAUCGGAAAGGAUAACCGCUGAAGGCAUCUAAGCGGGAAGCCCCCCUCAAAACAAGGUAUCCCCAUCAGGACCGUGGAAGACCACCACGUCGAUAGGCCGGAGAUGUAAGCGCAGCAAUGUGCUCAGUUGACCGGUACUAAUCGUCCGAUCGGCUUGACCUGA
rnacentral:rRNA from 1 species